rnacentral:pre_miRNA from 1 species
AGUGUGAUUGCUAGAUCAUAUGAUAAGAAUAUGUUUCGUUUUUAAGAAACUGGCCAACUGUCUUCCAAAGUGGCUGCACCAUGUUGCAUUCCCAAGAGCAGC